rnacentral:misc_RNA from 1 species
GAUGAAGAACGUAGCGAAAUGCGAUACGUAAUGUGAAUUGCAGAAUUCAGUGAAUCAUCGAGUCUUUGAACGCACAUUGCGCCCCCUGGUAUUCCGGAGGGCAUGCCUGUCCGAGCGUCAUUGCUGCCCUCAAGCACGGCUUGUGUGUUGGGCCUCCGUCCUCCUCCCGGGGGACGGGCCCGAAAGGCAGCGGCGGCACCGCGUCCGGUCCUCGAGCGUAUGGGGCUUCGUCACCCGCUCUUGUAGGCCCGGCCGGCGCUUGCCGACACAUCAAUCUUUUUUCCAGGUUGACCUCGGAUCAGGUAGGGAUACCCGCUGAACUUAAGCAUAUCAAUAAGCGGAGGA